AGGAAGCCUCGUUUGUUUCCAUGGUAUUACCAGGUUCUUACCAUAUAAUUUGUAAUACAUUAUUCCCUUUUCCAUGCAGUCAACACAAACUUGUACCAUGUGAGUUCUGCGACGUUACCAAGUAAAACACGACAAUUUACCCAUCAACACAAACUUGUACCAUGUACGUUCUGCGACGUUACCAAGUAAAACGCGACAAUUUACCUGUCAACACAAACUUGUACCAUGUACGUUCUGCGACGUUACCAAGUAAAACCCGACAAUUUACCCG